rnacentral:rRNA from 1 species
GAUGAACGCUAGCGGGAGGCCUAACACAUGCAAGCCGAGCGGUAUUUGUUCUUCGGUACAGAGAGAGCGGCGCACGGGUGCGGAACACGUGUGCAACCUGCCUUUAUCUGGGGGAUAGCCUUUCGAAAGGAAGAUUAAUACCCCAUAAUAUAUUGAUUGUCAUCCCUUGAUAUUGAAAACUCCGGUGGAUAGAGAUGGGCACGCGCAAGUUUAAAUAGCUGGUGAGGUAAGUGCUCACCAAGACAAUGAUCUUUAGGGGGCCUGGGUGGGUGAACCCCCAAACUGGAACGGGGACACGGACCAGACGCCAAGGGGCGGCAGCAGUGGGGAAGCAGGGACAAUGAGUUGGGCCCUGUUCCAGCCAGCCGGCGGGAAGGACGACGGCCCUGUGGGUUGUAAAUUUCUUUUGUAAAGGGAUAACCUACUCUCGUGAGAGUAGCUGAAGGUACUAUACGAAUAAGCACCGGCUAACUACGUG